UUGUAUUACAUCAUGUAUUAACCACAAAUCAUGAAAUCAAUACCAGAGAACCAAAUAAUGUCACCACCUCUGUACUAACAACCAACAUUUUAGCAUAAGGAGUAUCACAGGAGUGUUUAAUUGCACAUCAAGAGUAUCACAAUUACAACUAAAGAGGCAUUGUCCUCACUGCUGUCCCUGAGCCCUUCACAGAGUUUCAAGCCUCGCAACUUCUUCCUCCAGCUCUGCACAUGACCCUCGGUUACGAACCUCAUCCCUCAACUAUGAUUAUUUCAAGAUGAAAUCAACAUGCUAUUUCUCUCACAUGGAACAUGUUUAGAAUUUAGUCAGUCUCGCUAAUCUUUCAGCUACAAAGGCAGAAAGAAAAAUGGCAUAAUCAAUAACUAAAAAAAAACUGGAACAAUAAUGCUUGUAACAAUAAUGGCUAUAUUUUUAUCAUCAAAUUUCAACAAUAGAUAUCUCUCCUCCUAUAUCCCUCAAAGAGCAAAAAUAACAAAAUGAACUUUGAUGUACACAAACACAUUCAAAUAAGCAAAUCAGAGCAAGGCAAUAUGCAUCAUACCUUCAGGAUGCCAAGCGGUCGAUUAGUAAUGCUAAAAUGAACCCAUCAGCAUACCUCCCACCUAAUUUUAUUGGCCCUAUCUCUUCUUUCUCAAGUCUGCACUCGUUCAACCAGUAAUCCAAUUAGUUAUACAUGCACACAAUAAUCAAUAGUUUCCCUUCUCCCUAUUUCUAAUUUGGAAAAAUCACUAUAUUUUUCCCCUAUUUGUAGUUUACACUGAAAUCUGAAACCAGUGUGUGCAAGUAUGUUUAAACACCCAGCCAAAAAUCUGAGAAAAGCAAAAUAAGAAUUUGAAUGCCCAAGGAAAAUUAAACUUGCUCUCUCUCCCUAUUCUCAGCCAUACAUGCACCAGACAACAUAUAUAUAUAUAUAUAUAUAUAUAUAUAUAGAGAGAGAGAGAGAGAGAGAGCGAGAGACGAUCAAAUAAUUUUAUAGGUCCUCCUUGACUUGGCCGCUUCAAGCUGUGCUAGAAUCCAUGGGAUGGCAGAACACCUUUUUUAGUACAAGCACACUGCAAGCCACCAUCCACCCUUGCUUAUUAAUGAAAUAAAAUAAAGUAUUCCAAGAACAUGGAUCAGUUAUAAAAAGUACCGAUAUCAUGUAUGCAUCGUUCUGAUGCAGAGGCCGGGGAUCUCCCCCUUUUCGAAAAAAAAGUAUAUAAUACAAAAAUAAAUAUUCUUUGGAAGGAUAUAGUCAUAGAUAUAUCAAAUAGACAUAGUAUACGUUCCAAUGAUAAUGUCAUACCUGUAGAAGAGACAUAUCCUCAAGAAACGGUGCUCCAAAUGAAUAUUGCCAUAUUUGUCCAUAGUAAAUAAUCCAUUACAGCAGAAAUCAGAAGCCAACAUCAGUGUGGUUCGCAAUAAGAGGAGGCCAUUCUGUUCAUGCCUAGCAGUAGCACAACAGCGACAUGAAGACAACCUACUUUACAUGGCAAAAGAUCCAAGUAAGAAGAAAAUCUAAUGUCAUAUAUGGAUACACUUGAGUUGUUAUAAAUACUUAGGAAUUCAGGAUGGCAAAUUUAAGCAAGAAAAACACACUGGAGCUGUUAUAUUUACUUAGGAAUUCAGAUUAUUGUGUUUCCUAUAGAGGCCCUAUAACCUGAAUAAACGUAGCUGCACAUAAGAUCAAGUAAAAAAAAGCGUUAGUAAAUUCAUGAAAGGAAGAUGUGAAGAUAAAAGUCAUGACAGAACUGUCCAGAUUUUGUAUCAGCCAGUCAUAUAUACAGGACCAAGAAGACUGCACCCAAAGUUUGAUAUUUCAAUCAGCUUAAUUAAUAAUUAUUUGGCACGCAUCUUUGACACAGCACUGCCUUUAACUGUGUUCUGCGCCACAGAAAACACAAACUAAAAUUGAUAAAGUUGAGACAAAUAAGGGUACAUAUAUUGCAUUAGUAAACAAAUAACAAUAGAAUGUACUUUUAUGUAGAAUUAAAAGUGUGGAGAGAAAAUAAAUAAACCCGAGGGAAAACUAUCUAUUAGUCCUCAUAAAUCAAAACACAACAUCUUCACGCUUUCUCAGUCAACAGUCUACUCAAAUGUAAUUAAUAUAUAGCAGAUCAAUGACAAAAACACGUGCCAAAACAUGCCGACCAAAAUAAAGAGGUAGAAAGCCUAUUUUAAAUCCAUGACUGGUUACAAAGUUGCAUCAACCUACUACAUUAAAUAUAUAAUGGCAGUUCUGGAUGUUGCUUAACAUGGAGCAUAGUUUGAUGGUGCAGUGCAACCUCAUAAACUCUGCAUACAACAACCUGUAAAGAAAUAUGAACCAAAAUAAAGUGUCAUUGCUUCAAAUGAUAUAACAUACCAGAACGCCAUUUCUUCAUAUCCCAUCUCUCGAACAGAGGCAUGCCGAAUCCUUCCAGUAAGAGGUUGCCAGUGCGUACAUCAAGCCAUUGGCGAAAAGAACCGGAGAGAUCAAC
rnacentral:lncRNA from 1 species